rnacentral:rRNA from 1 species
GAUGAACGCAGGCGGCGUGCCUAACACAUGCAAGUCGAACGGAGUUGUUAUUAGGAAGUUUUCGGAUGGAAUAAUAAUAACUUAGUGGCGGACGGGUGAGUAACGCGUGGGUAACCUGCCUCAUACAGGGGGAUAACAGUUGGAAACGGCUGCUAAAACCGCAUGACAUUGCGAUGUCGCAUGACAAUGCAAUGAAAUAUUUAUAGGUAUGAGAUGGGCCCGCGUCUGAUUAGCUAGUUGGUGAGGUAAUGGCCCACCAAGGCGACGAUCAGUAGCCGGCUUGAGAGAGUGACCGGCCACAUUGGGACUGAGACACGGCCCAAACUCCUACGGGAGGCAGCAGUGGGGAAUAUUGCACAAUGGGGGAAACCCUGAUGCAGCGACGCCGCGUGAGUGAAGAAGUAUUUCGGUAUGUAAAGCUCUGUCAGCAGGGAAGAAAAUGACGGUACCUGACUAAGAAGCCCCGGCUAACUACGUGCCAGCCGCCGCCGUAA